GGUACCAAAUCCAGUUACACUUUUCACUACAAAGUGAAUGAUUGGAUCUUCACUAAGGUCAUCCACAAUUCUCAAAUGUGAACUCGGUAGCCAAGAGCAAUAUUGUUCUCCAUGUGGCCUGAGGAUAUAUACAAGAAUGACUCAGAUGGAAGUGUCCCUGUGAAAGGUACUUUGCCCGCAGUCAAAAAUGUACCUGCAUCAGUAUUCUAAUAAUGAAAUGGAAGCAUUCAAAACAAGAUUACAUUCUUGAAGUCAAGUUGCCUUAGGGUAAUACACAUCCAAAUAUAUGUCUGGUUUUUGCAACUCUUCUAAACAGGUAUCUAACAACAAUUUUUACAAAGCUUCAUGAUGAAAAUAGGCAAUAAUAUUGUACACUACAAUGAGCUUCGAUAUGGCUACUGAGCACUGCAAAUUAGUUUUCAUCAGUAGCUGAAUAAACUUGAAUUUUAAAGCAGGAGAGAAAAUGGUCAUUUACUGAUAACUAUGAGUGGCUUGGCUUUGGAGACUGUCAUAUGCUCAACGCUUUGAAACUACAAAUUAAUGACAGAGGAGAACAUUAACUGUCUUUCAAAAGGGACUGACCCUUUUCGUAUGGCACAUUGCUAAUGUCAUCUGUCGGCUGCAUCUAAUUACGGGAAUUUCAUGCAGUAAAAGUAACUCAAGGCCACUCAGAAAUAAAAAGCAACGUUCAAUUGCAAAUCGUUUUGAAAAUUGAGAGAAUACUUAAAAUAUCUUCCAAAGAUACUUGCUCGUUUCUUCCUGCACAUCGUUUACAUCAUCUAUUUACUGCCACUAAUUAUGUUAAUUUCAUGCCAUAAAAGUGACUUCAGGCUGUUCAGAAAUAAA